rnacentral:rRNA from 1 species
CCUACGGGCGGCAGCAGUGAGGAAUAUUGGUCAAUGGACGAGAGUCUGAACCAGCCAAGUAGCGUGAAGGAUGACUGCCCUAUGGGUUGUAAACUUCUUUUAUAUGGGAAUAAAAUGUUCCCCGUGUGGGAUUUUGUCUGUACCAUAUGAAUAAGGAUCGGCUAACUCCGUGCCAGCAGCCCCGGUAAUACGGAGGACCCGAGCGUUAUCCGGAGUUAUUGGGGUUAAAGGGAGCGUAGGUGGAUUGUUAAGUCAGUUGUGAAAGUUUGCGGCUCAACCGUAAAAUUGCAGUUGAAGCUGGCAGUCUUGAGUACAGUAGAGGUGGGCGGAAUUCGUGGUGUAGCGGUGAAAUGCUUAGAUAUCACGAAGAACUCCGAUUGCGAAGGCAGUUCACUGGACUGCAACUGACACUGAGGCUCGAAAGUGUGGGUAUCAAACAGGAUUAGAUACCCUUGUAGUC